ACAAAGGUAUUUUAGGAAUCACAAACAACUUCCUAAAUUCACAACUUGUACUGUAUGAGAGGCCCUGAGAUACCCUGUAAUGGAAGAAGAGUGACACUGCUCUUUCUUCUCUUGCUGAUUCCACUGCCAACUCUUCUUGGUUGGGGAAAACAUGGCCACUAUGCAAUUUGCAAGAUCACACAGGAGUAUCUUAGUGAAGAUGCUCUAUUUGCUGUGAAACAACUGCUUCCAGAUUCUGCUGAAGGUGAUCUUGCUGCAAUUUGCUCUUGGCCUGAUGAGGUUCGGCGUAAUUACCGCUAUCGUUGGAGUAGUGCUUUACAUUAUGUUGACACACCAGAUUUCAAGUGUAAUUAUGAUUACUGCAGAGACUGUCAUGAUUCUUAUGGACAUCAGCAUAAAUGUGUCACUGGAGCAAUAUAUAAUUAUACAAUGCAGCUCAAAUCAGAUAAUGCAGAUACUUCACCUGAAUUACGCUAUAAUUUGACAGAGGCACUAAUGUUCUUGUCACAUUUUGUUGGGGAUGUUCAUCAGCCCCUACAUGUUGGUUUUACUGGAGACCUAGGUGGAAACUCGAUAACAGUUCGAUGGUACCGGAGGAAAACAAAUCUUCAUCAUGUAUGGGAUGACAUGAUUAUUGAGUCUGCUCUGAAAACGUUCUAUGGUUCAGAUCUUUCAAUUAUGAUACAGGCUAUUCAGAGGAAUAUUACAGAUAUUUGGUCAAAUGAUGUAUCUAUUUGGGAACAUUGUGCACACAACUACACAGCAUGUCCAGAUCGGUAUGCUUCUGAAAGCAUUAAGUUAGCAUGCAAGUAUGCAUACAAGAAUGCCACACCCGGAAGCACUUUGGAAGAUGAAUACUUCCUUUCUCGGCUGCCUAUUGUGGAGAAAAGGCUAGCUCAAGGAGGUGUGCGACUCGCAGCUAUCCUCAAUCGCAUUUUUAAUUCUAAGACUAGAAUUGCUCAAUCUUGAAGACACAUCUUCAGGGGAUCAUUCCAUUGUACAUAAUAGUGCUUUCCUUUGAAGGUCAGCAAUCAUGUUUAACCCAGCCUUUUUGUAUAUUCACUGCCUUUAAACAGAGCUCGACAGGGGUGACCUUGAGGGUUACAGGAAUAGGUGAAAAUUCAGAAAUUGAAAAACUAGCUGCUCAAAUUGCCAAUAAGUGUAAUGGGCUGCCUAUGACAAUAGUCACAAGUCACAACUGGACGGGCAUUUAAAGAUCUGAGUUGAUCAUGGGAGGAUGUUCACUGGCAGCUUGAAAGCAAAAUGAUAAUAGCAGCUCCUGUGUUUUUGCAUAUAAUGUGAAUUCUAGCAAAAUUAACAUCAAUUGGGGAUCAUUCCAUUGUACAUAACAGUUGUCAAUCUUGAAGUCACAUCUUCAGGGGAUCAUUCCAUUGUACACAUUUUCGCAUAUUAAUUCACUUUUAAAGUUUUC